rnacentral:lncRNA from 1 species
AUGAUUUUGAGUUGCAGAGAGGCGGGUUUGUGCCACGUCCUUUGCACAAAGUGUGAGGAUGGAGAAAACCACCCCUGUUUCACCUGUGAUGUGGAAGCUCUCAGAGGAUUGGAUGUGGGACCUUGGAGGACACACAGGAUACCAGAGAUGUGGCCCCUGAGAGUCCUGCAAGGUCUGCAAUCCCCUUCCUCCCCAUGUGAUGUGGAAAUGCAGGACCAACAUCACUGCCACAGAGAGGAUGCCUUGGCCAAAUUGAGAGCUGGCAGCAGAACAUCUGCCAGCAAAGCCAUCUCCUUGGUGACUGCCCACUGCCCAGGGUUCCACCAUGCCAGAGGCGAGAAACAAAGCCCUGAAGGAUAUUCAAGAUCUGUAAGAAGUAUUUGGAGCAAAAUCCUGAGAAUGAGACCUUGA